rnacentral:rRNA from 1 species
ACGCCGCGUGAGUGAUGAAGGCCCUCGGGUCGUAAAGCUCUGUCGGSAGGGAAGAAAUGGUYUGGGGCUGAUACCCCUUGCCCKUGACGGUACCUSCCAACGACCCACCGGAUAACUCCGUGCCAGCAGCCGCGGUAAUA